CGUUUGAGAGAUAACGGACCCAUUCUUGGAAUGGAGUUUGAUCCUUUACCCCCUGGUGCAUUUGGCAUGCCUAUUGAGAUGCCAAGCCAUCGUAAAGCGAGUAGGCAAGCUUUUGAGACCAGCUUAUAUGUUCGAUCCGAUGUCAAACCCAAUAAAGAUGUGAGGCCCAUUCGUGAAUAUC